rnacentral:rRNA from 1 species
UACGUAGGGUGCGAGCAUUAAUCGGAAUUACUGGGCGUAAAGCGUGCGCAGGCGGCGCGUUAAGACAGGUGUGAAAGCCCCGAGCUUAACUUGGGAAUUGCGCUUGUGACUGGCGUGCUGGAGUGUGGCAGAGGGAGGUGGAAUUCCACGUGUAGCAGUGAAAUGCGUAGAUAUGUGGAGGAAUACCGAUGGCGAAGGCAGCCCCCUGGGAUAACACUGACGCUCAUGCACGAAAGCGUGGGGAGCAAACAGG